CAUGGAAACUGUGGACGGAAGAGAGGGCAUUGGAGCUUCUUGACAAUAUGUCAGAUCGCCCGUAUUCUGUAUCUGAAGUAUUGAGAUGCAUUCAUGUGGGUCUGCUAUGCGUGCAACAAAAGCCGGAAGACAGACCAAAUAUGUCAUCUGUGGUUUUGAUGUUGGGCAGUGAGAAUUCAUUGCCUGACCCAAAGCAACCUGGUUUUUUCACGGAAAGGAAUAUGCCCGCAGUGGACUCUUCAUCAGGAAAUCAUGAAUCAUCGUCUAUAAAUGACCUAACUAUUUCAGAGCUAGAUGCACGGUAGAAGAUUGGCUCUGAUGGUUAAAAGGAAGAGCUAUAUAUAUAUAUAUAUAUGUAUGUAUAUUCUAGCCAAAUCCAAGGCAUAUAACAGAAAUUAAAUAUUUUCUGCUAUAAUUAUGUUGAUGUAUUAUUUUUACCUGUCUACAAGUCCUCUGCAAGUACUAGUGCGAAUACAGAUAGACAGAAUGCUUGAGGAUUCACAUCUCUGGACUGCACAAUAUCUGUACUUGUUUGCUUCGAGCCGUCGAAUUUAAUGCACGGAUCUGGGUUCAAGAUCUAUAUAUGCUAGAGCCUCACUGGCUUCUAACCCAAAAAGAAUCCAUUAGAAUUGUCAAUAUAUAAUUAGUAAAAAAAAAUUACAUACAAUUUAAACAAUCCAAAUUUAUAAUUCAAAUUUACAUUAUAUUUUUCAUAACAUGUUAAAAAAAUAUAUUUUUAACAACCAUACAAGGAGCUAUAGUCUUUCCUUGAUUGAUUUCAUAGCACCUUAAACUUAGCCUUGACCUAACCCUUUUAGGGAUAAAUAUUAUAGGUACGAGUACCUUGAUGAUACUUAGCCUUUGUAGGGGAAUCCGACCGGUGAUGUUUUGAUAUUUGCUCAUAGUAGGCUAAGCACACUAACACAAUAUUUAACGUGGUUCGACAAACCGCCUACAUCCACGGGAGAAACCAUUUGAUUAUAUAGGGAGAGAACAAGAUUUACAACAGUAGAGGAGGAGGAAUCAUCCCCUCUUUGGCAACUCUCAACCUCACUCUAUUUUUCUCUUCUCAAUGCUGCAUUGGCAGCUACUGCUGGCUGCCUUGGCAGCCCACUCUCUCUUACAUUUCUCUCAUAUUUGGCUCUACUUUCACUCUCAUUUUGCUCUCUAAAAUCAUGCCUCUUUUAUAGGCAUCAAUGGCAGCUCCUCUUGCUCCUUUGUCAGCAAUGGUGGCUUCCAAACUUACCAAACUUUGACAAUAGACAAUGGUUGUUGGCUGCCACCAACAACCCACCAUUAUAGCCUCAUUCUUUGACUCUCACAUAGCAGUCAUCUUCUUUGACAUAGGCAGCCACAUAAUUGGCAAUAUUCCAACAAUCACCCCCUUUGCCAUUUAUGUGGGGCAACUAUCCUCUUGCUUCUUCAGCACAUGCUUGCAUCUUGCAGCUUUUCCAAGCUUACCAUUCAACCAGAUGGUUUGUCACAUCUCAUCUGAAGAGUGUUUAAUGCUUGUCUCUGGAACAACAUUCCCCUUCAAGCAUAUCAACCAUGCUUGGCCUGGAAUGAUUUAUCAAGCCUUACAUCAAGGCUUACAACACCCCCUCAAACUGAUAUUCCCAAGUGCGAUAGUCAUUGAGUAUUUUAAUGUGAUCACGAGCUCACCACUCUUCCAAGAGCCUACUCAUCCAGGAGUUGCGUCUGCCCUCUAUUCCACCCUAGGAACCACGCCUUACUUCUCCGUGAGUCUCUCACUCUUAGUCUCAAGAGUCCGGGUAGCAUCCACCUUUACUUAUGGGGGCAGCCCAUUAAAGGUUGAUCCAUAUCUAUCUUCAUACUCUGAGUAUUACAAUGCUUUCACCGAGCUCACCACCUUGACAAGAGUCAACUUGUUCCCGGAACCUGCGCAUGCCCUCUGCUCCUUCAUAGCAGUCGCGUCUUAAUGCUCCACAAGUCACCCACUUAUUGUCCAAGGUAAAUGUCUUCUAGCUCAUUGAUCUUUAGCAUGGGGGCAAUAUCCAUGAAAGUCAAUCCUGCAUUUGUCUUCAUACUCAUCAUAGACUCUUCAUUGGCUAUACACUUGUCCACUUAUAUCCAGCCAUCAUAUUGGCUCUAGGGCUGGGCUCUUUUCAUGGCCCUCACACCUUCUCGUGAGGUGUCUCCGCUCGUCGUCAUGCGAUAGUCUGAAUCUGGGCUAAUAUUAUAGCCCUCACACCGUCCAUCCGAGGUGUCUCCGUUCAUCGUCAUGCGGCUUCAUGUCCCUCACACCUUCUCCGAAGGUGUCUUCGCCCGUUGUCAUGGGGCAGUCUGAUCUUGGGCUCAUAUCAUGGCCCUCACACCUUCUGUCUGAGGUGUCUCCGCCUAUCGUUAUGAGACGGCCUGAACAUGGACUCAUAUCAAGGUCCUCACACCUUCUGUCCAAGGUAUCUCCGCCUGUCGUCAUGAGACGGUCUGAACAUGGACCCAUAUCAUGGUCCUAACACCUUUCGUCUGAGGUGUCUCCGCCUGUUGUCAUGAGACGGUCUGAAUCUGGGCUCAUAUUAUAGCCCUCACACCUUCCAUCCGAAGUGUCUCCGCUCAUCGUGGAGCGGUCUGAAUCUAGGUUCAUAUCAUGGCCCACAAACCUUCCUCUAAGGUGUCUCUGCCCGUUGUCAUGGGACAGUCUGAUCUUGGACCCAUAUCAUGGUCCUCACACCUUCUGUCUAAGGUGUCUCUGCCUGUUGUCAUGAGACGGCCACAUCCUCCUUCAUCGGGGAUGUCUCUAGUGGCUCUAAGAUUCUCUACCACCAUGUGGACUUGGGAGAGAUUACUGCCACUGAUUACAUAGAAAGAUAAAGUUGUGGCAUACUCCUCGCAAUCCUCCACCUCGAUUUCUAUGUCUGGAGCUUCUACGCCUUUCUACUUGAUAGCUCCACCUACACCACUCUCUUUAGUGUCUUCGCCUUUCAUCAUAGGCGGUCACCUUUGUCACAGGCGUUUGCACCCCCUCAAUUAGGUGCCUCUGCAACAGCUCAUCUUUCCAUCAUUGCAUGCAUUGGAAAGGUCCUCGCUUGUUGCCUUCAUCAAGAGCACAAGAGAUUUCUUGUUGUAUAACUUUUUCACACCGUCUCUACUCUAAGCUUCAUCUGGGAACUCUUAUUCUCCUUGCACCUACUGUCUCAUUACAGUACCUCGUUGGAUCCUACGGGUACUCCUGCACAAUCUCCGUGUGCUCUCGUGCAAUUCCGGUUCUCUAGAUUUCUCCCUAUUUUUUGCUUUUAUGUUUGACAACAGCUCAUCCUGUCACAACAUUUAUCCAAGUCAAAAUAGGGUGCCAAUCUUUAUCCCCUUGUUGUAUUUCUCUUCCAUUAUCAGGGUCUUCAUUAAUUCUCCCUUCGAGAAAUUACAGUCACCGAAUCUAACUUCUUUGGAGAAAUCACCACUCCAUUAGAUCCUUGAACAUACGGAACCCAACUGUUCCUUUAUGUCGUCAUCUUGCUAGUCUUCAACAGUUUCAUUACAAACUGUUACAUAUACAAAAAUAGUACUGUGUGGAUGAUCCUUCAACUAAGCAAGUUCCCAGGAAAGAUUUGGAGGGGUCACACUGGUCCCGUGAUUAGUACUUAAAAGUGCAUGUUUAUCAAGGUUUUAUAUCAUCAUUUUGCACUUGAAGUAUCAAUAACUCCUUAACUAAAGCAUGUUUUAUAAUAACAAGUUUGAUACUAUAAGAUACCUUAAUUUAUGGUAAAUGCUCAUCUUAUAUGCAGGCCUAUCACAUAAAUAAAAUGAUUGAUUGAUGAGUUUAAGUAUUGAAAGUGAAAGGACAAAGAGAUGGCCAAACUUAGAAAAGAGAUGUCGGUGCAGUCCAAACCAGAACAUUGCUCGGUAAUUGGAUCAUAUUUGGAGCUCUAGAUCUCAGAUUUAGGUCCAUUUUAUAUGGAUGGAAAGGUAAUACAAAGGCCUACAACUUUCAUGAGGAGCCUAAGAUUUAAAAAGGUCGUUUUGAAGUCCAAAUUGAAGGAACAACGAAGAAGUCCGAAGCUGUCCUGCAGCCCAGACACUAUUUAGUGUUCAACCCAUAUCUUGAGUUCUAGAAGUCCAAAUGACCUCAUCUUUUUUUUUUUGGAAAGCUGAGACAAUUUCCUAGAACAUUCCUGAGGAUUCUGGGCAAAUUAUUAUGUUAGAAAUGACGUUUUGUUCAGACAAGAAGAUAAGGAUUGUCACCAAGUCAAGAUGUGGCCACCCACUCAUCAAUUAGUCAACAAAUCAAUAGUUCUAAAUUUUGGCCUAUAAAAGGAGGCACUUACCAUGUAUUGAGGCAUCUUGGUUUCCAGAUCAAGAUCAUGCUCUUGCUUUCUCUCUUUGUAUUGCUUAUGUCUUGCUUUCAUUAAUAUCAAGUUUAUGCACUUCAUUUUCUUUCCUUUACUUAGUUAACUUCUUUCUCAUUUAUGUUCUUAUCUUGUUCAUUUAUGUUUCUUUCUUUCAUUAUGUUCAGCUAAGUUAAUUAUGUCAAGGUGAAAAGGGUACACUAAUGGUGUAAGAAUAAGUAUAAUAUAAACUUAACAUGGACCUUAACGUUGGAUACUAACAUGUUUUAUAUUUGUUAUCUUGUUCACUUUUAAUACUUUGCUUGUUAAAUGGUUAAUCUAGAUUUAUGUUAUAUAACAUUUGGUACAACAAAUACUUGGUACUUUCAUAGCCCAUACUGUAUGGUAUAACCGACACCUGAGCUAUAAAAGGAACUUGAUUUGUUGUUAACAUAAGUUAUAAUCAUGAAUGCCUGCCAACAUUUACAAGUAUUAGCUUUAUUCGAAUAAGAUAACUAAUGUAAUCAUGUUAACAAUUUAUAAUCUGAUUGGAACCUCCUUUAUGUGUGGUUUCCAAUUGAGUAAUAAGAGUUUAUACUAUACUUGUUUGAAAUACCAUUAGUGGAUCCUCUAACCUUGACAUUUGUUGUUGUUAUUGUUUAAUCCUUACGUUAAUCUUUCAUCUCAAAGUUCUCAUUAAUUUCUUCAUCUUCUGCUUUUAUUAUUAUUAUUAUUAUUAUUAUUAUUAUUAUUAUUUACAUUCUGUUUAUAUUAUAUAAUAUAUAUCUUUGAUCUUUUCAUAAACUCAGUAUAUAGGCUGGAAACCUGUGACCCGAUCUUUUAGAUUAUUCUCAGGUAUAACAACGCCACGUACUAAGUAUUAUAAUUAUUAUUGUUGUUAUUAUUGUUGUUGUUGUUAUUGUUGUUGUAUUGUUAUUUAUAAUUUAUACAAUUAAUCUCUAUGUGGUUCGACCCCGGUUUUGCCGGGUUAUUUAUUACUUCGACACUCCUGCACUUGGGAAAAGACAUCAAGCUUUAGGUCGUGUCAAGUUUUUGGCGCCGUUGCCGGGGAGGUAAAUUCUUGUAUAAAUUAUAAUUUUUAUUUCUUUUUAUUUUUUUCAUUUUAUUUAAUUUUGUUUCUUUUCUUUUCUUGCUUUUAUUCUCUUUUUACACGUGCAUGAGAGUUUGGUCACGUAUAUUAAGUGGUCGACUUUGUAGGGUAUCCUCAUCAUUUUUAGAAAAUAUGGCUGAAGAAGAUAAUCAAUCGCUUCAUAAUGAGAAUAAUGAGAAUAACCGUAUGAGAACACUUAGAAAUCACAUGAAUCCCACAAGAACAAGUGCACCCUCAUGCAUAGUUUUCCCUUUCCUUUCCUGGUAUGAUACAAGCAUGAGGCUAGUAGAAUGCAAGGACAAGUGUCUAAAAAACUACAAUUGCACGGCAUAUGCAAAUUCAAAUAUCACAGGAGAAGGCAGUGGCUGCAUACUCUGGUUCGGUGAAUUGGCUGAUAUGAGAGAGUUUAGUUAUGGGGGCCAAGACCUCUACAUAAGGAUGCCACCACCUUUGAAAACAGGUAUUUUUCAAUAUUCUUCCCAUGAUUCUCAAGCAGGGUAUUUUUUUUCACUCUUUCUCUCUGUUUCUUUGUUUUUUUUUUUGAAAUGAGGAAGUUGUAUGUUCCUUGAAUGUUUUCCUAACUUCGUGUCCUCAUUUCCUCAUUCUAUUUACAAAUAAAACAGAACUCCUUUCUGUGUUUAUUGUGGGUUUUCAGAUCAGGCGACGUCAAACACAAAUUCUGGUAAGAAGAAGCUUUCAGGAAUCAUACUCGGUUCCACACUCCUUGCUGGAGUGCUUAUGGUAGGACUAAUCUUCUAUAUAUGGAGAAAGAAGCAGAAAAAGCAAGGUAGUGUACUGUGGACAAUUCUUCUUAUUCCAGAACAUGGACCUUGUUGAUAUAUAUAGUAUGCAUGGUAGAAUUUUAUGUUAGUCAUCGAUAACAAAAUGAAGCAUUUGUUAGAUCAUUGCUGACAACUGAUCAAUCUUCUGCUAUUCAGAAAUAGAGGAAGACAUGGAGUUGCCAUCGUUUCAUUUGGCCACCAUAGUGAAAGCAACGGAUAACUUUUCAAGCAACAACAAGUUGGGACAAGGUGGUUUUGGACCGGUAUAUAAGGUAUAUAACAACGUGCUUCAAAGCUGAGAGAUCAUCUACUAUGAGAUAUUCUAACUUCAGUAAAUAACGAUUCCCAGGGUACAUUGAUUGAUGGGCAAGAAAUAGCAGUGAAAAGACUCUCAAAAAGUUCUCGGCAAGGAUUGACAGAGUUCAAGAAUGAAGUUAUCUUGAUAGCUAAGCUUCAGCACAGAAAUCUUGUUAAACUUCUUGGCUGUUGCAUUCAAGGAGAUGAAGUAAUGUUGAUCUAUGAAUUCAUGCCCAACAAAAGCCUAGAUUGUUUUAUUUUCGGUUUGUACCCCAUGAACUGGUUAGAGUUUCUUGCAGUUAGAUUGCUUGUUCUAUGAUGUUUCAUUUAUACAUCAGAAUAACAUAACAUUAUGAUAAAUUGAUUAGAUCAAACAAGAAACAAAUUCCUGGACUGGCAGAGACGUAACCUCAUUAUCGGUGGCAUUGCUAGAGGACUACUUUAUCUUCAUCAAGACUCUAGACUAAGGAUUAUCCAUAGAGAUCUCAAAGCCAGCAACAUAUUAUUAGAUAAGGAUAUGAACCCCAAAAUUUCAGAUUUUGGAAUGGCUAGACUGUUUGGAGGAGACCAAAUUGAAGCAAACACAAAUAAAGUGGUCGGAACAUAGUAAGUACACUCUACACCUAUUUUGUUACAAUGUAUAAUCUCCGCACAUUUAAACUUUUUCUGAAAAUGUUUUUCCGCAGUGGAUACAUGUCCCCUGAGUACGUUGUUGAUGGGCGUUUCUCACUGAAAUCCGACGUCUUCAGCUUCGGUGGUUUAGUCUUGGAGAUAAUAAGUGGGAAGAAAAAUAGAGGAUUCUCCCACCCGGAUCAUUGCUAUAAUCUUCUUGGACAUGUAAGGAUAAAAUUAAACAUGUUAAUUUAAUUUAAUUAUGUAUUAACAAUUUUUCUCAUGACAAGUUUUUUGUUUUCCAGGCAUGGAAACUGUGGACGGAAGAGAGGGCAUUGGAGCUUCUUGAAAAUAUGUCAGAUCGCCCGUAUUCUGUAUCUGAAGUAUUGAGAUGCAUUCAUGUGGGUCUGCUAUGCUAUGGUUUUGAUGUUGGGCAGUGAGAAUUCAUUGCCUGACCCAAAGCAACCUGGUUUUUUCACGGAAAGGAAUAUGCCCGCAGUGGAGUACUCUUCAUCAGGAAAUCAUGAAUCAUCAUCUAUAAAUGACCUAACUAUUUCAGAGCUAGAUGCACUGUAGAAGAUUGGCUCUGAUGGUUAAAAGGAAGAGCAUAUAUAUAUAUAUAUAUAUAUAUAUAUAUUUCUAGCCAAAUCCAAGGCAUAUAACAGAAGUUAAAUAUUUUCUGCUAUAAUUAUGUUGAUGUAUUAUUUUUACCUGUCUACAAGUCCUCUGCAAGUACUGUUGCGAAUACAGAUAUACAGAAUGCUUGAGGAUUCACAUCUCUGGACUGCACAAUAUCUGUACUUGUUUGCUUCGAGCCAACGAAUUUAAUGCACGGAUCUGGGUUCAAGAUCUAUAUAUGCUAGAGCCUCACUGGCUUCUAACCCAAAAAGAAUCCAUUAGAACUUCUUACUAGAUUU
rnacentral:lncRNA from 1 species